rnacentral:lncRNA from 1 species
GUGUCUUAGGCGGUUCCAGCCGUUAGUCACAGGGCGGCCGGACUACAAUCCCAGCAUACAACGGGAGUGGAGGUGGUGACCUUGAGAGAGGGCCUGUGCUGUGCGCGCCUCGCGGGGCAUGCUGGGAGCAGUAGCAUCUUAGCUGCUUCCGGCCGCUGGUCGCAGGGCUGCGGGACUACAAUCUUCGCAUGAAAUGGAAGAGAGGGUGGUGCGGAUAGCUUGAGGAAGGAACACUACAAGGCCUGUUAGAGAAGAAAGGGUAGAAUCCCGAGAAUGUUUUCCCCACAGUGCUGAUAAGGAGAGACCACUAUCCCAUCUACUGCUACAGCUCUGGAGACAGAGCUCUCCCACCUGUCAUAUAGAACACAAGGACCAAUCUGCAGAGAAAGAGCAUCCAAACCUGAUCCAGUGGACACUGGGGAAAAACUCACCACAGCUGAGUGUGGAAAAACAAGGCCAACACACACAUCUCUGCACAGAUACAUCUCCCAUAAAGAAACUAAAGUGUUAAUUUACAGGGCACUGUUGCAGACCCACUUCAGCUGGAAGCUAGGAACAUGGACAAGGAGCCUCUCUACCACCAAGGGAGAGAGAGGAAUGUGCUCUUGUCCUGGCAUUGCAUCCACAGGAGGGGCAGGAAAUUCUUUGAAGUUCGUUUUCAUAGAAUUCUUCAUACCUGUUUCUAUGAGGAAUGAACUGGAUGUGUUUGAAGACAAGCUGAAGAGCUACGUUACCUCUGUGAACAAAGUGGGGAUGCUGGCUCCAUUAACCCUGCAGGUGAAAAAGCUGAUCAACCCCAGGUCAUAUUUUGUAAACAUGUUUAAGGCUAAAUUAAAAUUUGAACAUGCUCUAAGAAUUUUUUUUCAAUAGCCUGUUUAUUUUUAAUGCCUAUUGGAAAAAUUGAAAUGAAUAUUUAAUUUCAAAUUUGGAC